UGGGGAAACUCGCAACGCGUGGGAGUGGAUGAGUAUAUGGCUUUUCCUUGACGCCGUUGGCGUCUCGUCAACUUUGGCAGACGCGGAUUUCGUUAGGCUGAGCAGUUGGCUUUACUGCUCUUCGGCAGUCAUACGUGACUUUGAAGCAGCGAACCGUUGACUCAGCCAUUAACUGUUCGUGCUCAAUGGGGAACCGAGCAGCCAUGUCUUGAAAUUCUCUGGAGUCCCCGAAGCGUUGUUUCCUCAGUACGACUCCACAGGGCCCUCCACCAAAAUGCGGGUUGCCAGCCUGACCGCUUUCCUUGCCAUAUUUCUUCUGACUGACCUUUCUUUGGCCCAGAGGGGAAGAGGCAGAGGCCGCGGCCGGGGACGAGGCCUAGGAGAGUUACGUGGCCGAGGCCAGUUCCGUGGUCGCGGAAGAGGUCCUCAGAACGACAACAGCUCGGAGGACCGACAGAACAACGAAUGUCAAACAGCCACUGGCCAGGCCGGAGUCUGUGAGCCGUUGAGCCGCUGCGUCUACCAGUUCAACGGCGCCGAUGAAAUUUCCAGGUCCCGCUGCGAAAGGGGCAACAAAGUUUGCUGCCCUGUGCAAACACCUCCCGCCGCAGAA
rnacentral:lncRNA from 1 species